UGGGGAAUAUUGCGCAAUGGGCGAAAGCCUGACGCAGCCACGCCGCGUGAGCGAUGAAGGCCUUCGGGUCGUAAAGCUCUGUGGGGAGAGACGAAGAAAGCCCGUGAAGAGCGGGCCUUGACGGUAUCUCCUUAGCAAGCACCGGCUAACUCCGUGCCAGCAGCCGCGGUAAUACGGAGGGUGCAAACGUUGCUCGGAAUCAUUGGGCGUAAAGCGCACGUAGGCGGCGAAGCAAGUUGGGUGUGAAAGC
rnacentral:rRNA from 1 species